GAAAGGGGGAGUGGGGGAGGGCAGAGCCUGUGGUUGGUAUUUCAGCUACCGGCAAAGCCCUCCUCAAAUCAAACCCUCCAUGGAAGGCGGGUAUUAGCAGGGUGGCUGAGGGGCACCUGCAAUGCGGAGAUUAAUCCCCUUUUUGUUUUCUUUCGGGUCUAUCUCAGCACUGCUGAGUGGAAGAAUUUAUGUUGGCCUCCUUCCUAGAAGGAAGCUGCAGGCUCAGAAAAGAGGAUGUGUCAUCAGAUGUCACCUCUCAGGGUGCCUCUGUUGCUAUCUGUCUGUCGCUCUGCCCCUCCCUAGGUCUCUGCCCCUCCCUGCCAAUCAGUUCUACCUUCCUUUCACUCCUCAGAGUUUUAUUUCUGUGGCUCGAAUUCUGAUUUCGUACCAGAGGAAGACAACAACAGCUCUAUUACCAGGUCCCCUGCUCCUCUCCAAUGUGCCCCAGACAGGUAUUCGGCGACCAGAGGAGAGCUGAGCUGGGCUUUGAUCACACUCUGCCUCUGCAUCCGCGGAGCUUGCUGGGCCAUGCAGAUGUCUUCUGCAAGUGAGCUAAGGCCAUGGAAAAGAUCCCUCGGGGGCCAUUUGAGAUGUAGCUCACAGUGGCCUUCAACAUUUUUAUUUAAGCUGUGGAGUCAUUUUCUGGAAAAUAAAAUAUCAUUGACAACCUCACUAUGUGAAAUGGAUAGCGUGCUCUUAUUGUACAGGGGUGAGAAGAGGAUAGAGGAGGCCUGAAGUUAGCCCACUGAGCCCUCCACUUCCCAGGACCCUGAGGCCACUGAGCACAGGCCCUUGUGCAGCCCUGCUCCCGGACCCACCGUGACUGUGAUGUCCUGGAGGAAUAAGUGCCCUCCUUCCAUUCAUACAAAGGUUCCCAACUGGCUACCAAAGGCUAUGGCCAGUCCCUGGAAGGCAUGCUGUUUCCACCAGGAUCCUGAAAUCCCAGGUUCUCAAAUAGGGUCCUACAUUUUCACCAAGGAGCUGCACACUUUCCCAGUGUAUAUGUGACUAUUCGUCGCCAGCAUGUGCACGGGACCAUUUUGGUGUGUGAUUUUUUCAUAUACUUUCCAGGGUGUUUAUGACUAGGGUGCAAUUUUAGAAAUGAGAGCUUUGGUAGCAAGGUCCUGACCAUCCCAGAGAAGGAUUUUGGCAAAAAAUAGUAGUUGCUAGUUAUUUACUCUUCCUCUUUUUGCUAGAUCAGGUGGCAGAAAAGAUGAGUUAUUGUCUUACUAUCUUAUCUUCCCCAGUAUUUCAUUUCCCAAUACUGAAGACAGUGGAGGCAUUUUGGACCUAAGAACCAGUGUUUCAGAAGAUGGCAUUUACCCUACAAUGGCCGUGCCCAAGGUAAACUCUGGGCUUUGGGCUGCAUGGCCCCAAUCCAGAGAACAGAGGGACUAUUCCUGGCUCCUUCCUGAGCUGCUCUAACAUCCUGCCCGACUGAGCCCAGUUAUGCUUCAUUUACAAGAAGAGGCCGCGUUAGCUCCUGGCUCAUGUGGAGUUAAAUAGAGAUGAGAUGUAACACUUUUUUUCUAACAGCACAAAACUCCUUCCUGAAGAGUCACCUUGAAGAGAGAUGGUUUCUUGUGCAGAAUCGCAGUCUGGGCAAUUAAGUCAGAGAACUCUGAGUUUAUAUGCUGUGCGUUUUCAUUGACUGACUCUGUGGCUUUUUGGAGAAUUACAUUUCCUCUCUGAUAUUGUUAAUUGAUGAAGUCUCACAACUUCACUAGGGAAUAAACUUAUGCUGACAAG
rnacentral:lncRNA from 1 species